UACAGAGGGUGCAAGCGUUGUUCGGAAUUAUUGGGCGUAAAGCGCGUGUAGGCGGCCUUGCAAGUUGGGUGUGAAAGCCCUCGGCUUAACCGAGGAAGUGCGCCCAAAACUACAGGGCUUGAGUACCGGAGAGGGUGGCGGAAUUCCCGGUGUAGAGGUGAAAUUCGUAGAUAUCGGGAGGAACACCAGUGGCGAAGGCGGCCACCUGGACGGAUACGUGACGCUGAGGUGCGAAAGCGUGGGGAGCAAACAGG
rnacentral:rRNA from 1 species